rnacentral:SRP_RNA from 1 species
CCGUGCUAGGCGGGGAACUAGCGGUGCCCUGUACCUGCAAUCCGCUCGAGCAGGGCUGAAUUCCCUCCCGAGGCCCGCGUCCGCGGAUGCCGACGGUGCGAUCGACGUUGAGGAUCGGGUCCCGCGCAGCGGCGACGCGUGAACCUCGUCAGGUCCGGAAGGAAGCAGCGAUAAACGCUGCUCGCCGGGUGCCGCGGAUCGGCCUGGUCCGAGUCGAUCGACCGUUGGGCACGCGGCCGUCUCGGUCGACGGAGGGUGCACGG